rnacentral:rRNA from 1 species
CUUAUAGAUGGAUCCGCGCUGCAUUAGCUAGUUGGUAAGGUAACGGCUUACCAAGGCAACGAUGCAUAGCCGACCUGAGAGGGUGAUCGGCCACACUGGAACUGAGACACGGUCCAGACUCCUACGGGAGGCAGCAGUAGGGAAUCUUCCGCAAUGGGCGAAAGCCUGACGGAGCAACGCCGCGUGAGUGAUGAAGGUCUUCGGAUCGUAAAACUCUGUUAUUAGGGAAGAACAUAUGUGUAAGUAACUGUGCACAUCUUGACGGUACCUAAUCAGAAAGCCACGGCUAACUACGUGCCAGCAGCCGCGGUAAUACGUAGGUGGCAAGCGUUAUCCGGAAUUAUUGGGCGUAAAGCGCGCGUAGGCGGUUUUUUAAGUCUGAUGUGAAAGCCCACGGCUCAACCGUGGAGGGUCAUUGGAAACUGGAAAACUUGAGUGCAGAAGAGGAAAGUGGAAUUCCAUGUGUAGCGGUGAAAUGCGCAGAGAUAUGGAGGAACACCAGUGGCGAAGGCGACUUUCUGGUCUGUAACUGACGCUGAUGUGCGAAAGCGUGGGGAUCAAACAGGAUUAGAUACCCUGGUAGUCCACGCCGUAAACGAUGAGUGCUAAGUGUUAGGGGGUUUCCGCCCCUUAGUGCUGCAGCUAACGCAUUAAGCACUCCGCCUGGGGAGUACGACCGCAAGGUUGAAACUCAAAGGAAUUGACGGGGACCCGCACAAGCGGUGGAGCAUGUGGUUUAAUUCGAAGCAACGCGAAGAACCUUACCAAAUCUUGACAUCCUUUGACAACUCUAGAGAUAGAGCCUUCCCCUUCGGGGGACAAAGUGACAGGUGGUGCAUGGUUGUCGUCAGCUCGUGUCGUGAGAUGUUGGGUUAAGUCCCGCAACGAGCGCAACCCUUAAGCUUAGUUGCCAUCAUUAAGUUGGGCACUCUAAGUUGACUGCCGGUGACAAACCGGAGGAAGGUGGGGAUGACGUCAAAUCAUCAUGCCCCUUAUGAUUUGGGCUACACACGUGCUACAAUGGACAAUACAAAGGGCAGCGAAACCGCGAGGUCAAGCAAAUCCCAUAAAGUUGUUCUCAGUUCGGAUUGUAGUCUGCAACUCGACUACAUGAAGCUGGAAUCGCUAGUAAUCGUAGAUCAGCAUGCUACGGUGAAUACGUUCCCGGGUCUUGUACACACCGCCCGUCACACCACGAGAGUUUGUAACACCCGAAGCCGGUGGAGUAACCUUUUAGG